UCAGGAACGAUGUCAUCAGGUGGUGAAGCUUUUGUUAUUACAUUUGGUUACAAGAACCUGCAGUAUAAUGCCAGUGGCAAAAAAAUGAAAUGCUGUUUGCAAAACUUGUGGAAUUAACAUUAAAUAUGCUGGCGCAACUACAGUACAUCUAACUUCAUCCGACAUGUGAAAACUCACCGCGAAAGGUUCACUGAAUUCUGCAAAGCAAAGGUGACCAGCACAGGGACAGAGCAGCUUGUAUAGCCAGGGCCACCCCAGGCAGAAGGCUAUAACAGAGGCUAUACUGCAAGACCUGAUCAUUUCCUGCAACCUGCCUAUGUCCUUAGUGGACAACCCUCACUUUAGGCAUUUCAUGUCAGUGGUAGGUGACAAAUAUUGACCAGUAAGUAGGUCCACGUUGACCAGGUGCCUGCAUGACUUAACACUGAACAAAAAGGCUACAAUCAAAAGUGCCCUAGAACAGACAGAAUCAGUGUCUGUCACUGUAGAUAUAUGGACUGACAGGACCAUGAGGGGCUUCAUGGGAGUAAUGGCCCAUUACAUGGCCAUGGAAGAGAGAAAAAAAACACCCAGACUGGACAUUUGACAUUUAAUAUGUGAUAACUCUGAAAAUAUGAAAAAGGCCUUCAUAGUUUGUUUCCCCAAAGCAAUCAAUGAUGAUGAUGUGGAUAACCCCAGUAUAUGGGAAGAAUUUGGUGAAGAGUACAAUGUUGAUGUAGAAGCUAUCCAAACCAACUGCAGGUAACAGCACUUACGGUGCUUUGCCCAUUCAUUACAACUGGUGAUUAGAGAUGGACUAAAGGAAACAAAAAUCAUAAACAGUGUGAUGUUUAAGGUAACUAAACUUUGCAGCUUACUACACACUACCUGUUCUCUGACGGAAGCAUUUGAAGCCGAGUUCGGGGCCAAUCGUAGUAUCCCUGCUGCUGUGUCUACCAGAUGGAAUUCCAUCCUCCGGCUUGUUAAAGCAGCCACCAAUCUGAAUCAACAAAGCCUCAAUACGCUACUUGAGGCCCAAGGACACAAGGAACUCUGCUUACCACAAAGGGAAUGGAGUCAGCUAUUGGAGCUAGUGGACAUUUUGGACCCUUUUGUCCAGGCCACCGACCUUACUCAGGGGGUUCUCUCAGUGCUGCCCUUCCUUGUGUACUGUCAACUAUCAUCUGCAAAGUAUACUGUGCACAAGUCAUCACCUAUUCAGUCUAGUAAAAGCACUGCAGCAGUCACUCAAAUGCCAAUUCCAGGGGGUGUUUGUGAAUGUCAGAAUGGAGCACUCGGAUGAACAGGCAACAAAACUUACUUUGGUGACAAUGUAUACAUAAAGGCUGCACUGCACUGGACCCAUCUUUCUGCCUGUUCUGGCUUGAUCAUGAUGUCCUCAUACCACAUGAAGAUCAAGCUGAAUUGAAGAAGGAGAGUCUGAUUGACCUAGCCAGAAGGCUGAGGCAUGGAAAGUCACCAUUAUGGAGAGCAGUAGUGGAGAAGAGGAACAACCACCUGCCAAAACCUCCAGACUGUUCUCUGGCCUCCUCAACAAGAUCAGCAUGAAGAAAGGAGACAAAGUCACCUGUCAAAGCAGAGAUUAUUAGCUACAUUGAAGUAUCUUCUGAUGAAAAGUAAGUUGAUUGCUUGGAUUUUUGGAGAAUCCAUGCAAAAGACUUUCCAAAACUCAAACAGGUAGCAAUGACAGUGUUGGCUGUGCCUGCCACCAGUGCCCCAGUGGAGAGUGUUUAGUCAUGGAGGCCUCAUCAUACGCCCUCAUCGUGCCAGACUCACUGCAAGAACGCUGACAAACUUGAUCUUUCUGAAAUGUAACCUAUCUGCAACAUAAAUAUUCUCUCUCUUAGGGCACAGGAUGUAAUUUGCUACUUGUUACAGGAAAUUGUAUUUAUGUUAAGUGUCCAGGUUAGUAAGUAUAUUUUAGGGAUAAAGGUCAUUAUGGUUGAUAUAUAGGACACUUUAGUAGUGCAGUUAUUGAACAGUUGUCAGUCAUUUUGGUUUACAUUCAUGCUUGUCAUUUAUCUUCCCUCACCUACAGAUUCUGUUUGUGUGACACAAAAUACCAUGCACUUUAAAAUGUUAUGUUUGCUUUUUUAAAUAUCCAGUACAAUUACUUUUAUUAAAUGUAAACUGUCUACAUUUUAAAAGGAAAUGUAUUUGGAUUGAAAUAGUGCCUGAUGUAUUUUCUUUCAUAAAAGUAUGG